rnacentral:rRNA from 1 species
AGAGUUUGAUCCUGGCUCAGGACGAACGCUGGCGGCGUGCUUAACACAUGCAAGUCGAACGGAAAGGCCCUGCUUUUGUGGGGUGCUCGAGUGGCGAACGGGUGAGUAACACGUGAGUAACCUGCCCUUGACUUUGGGAUAACUUCAGAAACUGGGGCUAAUACCGGAUAGGAGCUCCUGCUGCAUGGGGGGGUAGUUUCGGCGGUUGGGGAUGGACUCGCGGCUUAUCAGCUUGUUGGUGGGGUAGUGGCUUACCAAGGCUUUGACGGGUAGCCGGCCUGAGAGGGUGACCGGCCACAUUGGGACUGAGAUACGGCCCAGACUCCUACGGGAGGCAGCAGUGGGGAAUAUUGCACAAUGGGCGGAAGCCUGAUGCAGCAACGCCGCGUGCGGGAUGACGGCCUUCGGGUUGUAAACCGCUUUCGCCUGUGACGAAGCGUGAGUGACGGUAAUGGGUAAAGAAGCACCGGCUAACUACGUGCCAGCAGCCGCGGUGAUACGUAGGGUGCGAGCGUUGUCCGGAUUUACUGGGCGUAAAGGGCUCGUAGGUGGUUGAUCGCGUCGGAAGUGUAAUCUUGGGGCUUAACCCUGAGCGUGCUUUCGAUACGGGUUGACUGAGGAAGGUAGGGGAGAAUGGAAUUCCUGGUGGAGCGGUGGAAUGCGCAGAUAUCAGGAGGAACACCAGUGGCGAAGGCGGUUCUCUGGGCCUUUCCUGACGCUGAGGAGCGAAAGCGUGGGGAGCGAACAGGCUUAGAUACCCUGGUAGUCCACGCUGUAAACGGUGGGUACUAGGUGUGGGGUCCAUUCACGGGUUCCGUGCCGUAGCUAACGCUUUAAGUACCCCGCCUGGGGAGUACGGCCGCAAGGCUAAAACUCAAAUGAAUUGACG